rnacentral:lncRNA from 1 species
AAUUAGUCGGACUUAGACUAAUUCUUCCAAACAUAAAUCUCCAUCAAUUUCAUCCACAAUUUGAAAGGUGGCUGGGGUGACGGCUGUUUUGACUGUAGUGAGUGUUUGAGCGUUUUGGUUUGUUUGUAUGCUUGGUGAUCUGAGGUUUUAUAGGGUUAAUUUCCGCAAGAAGCUAUGAUUUUGACAGUAGUGGUCAUUGAUUUCGUUCGAUGUUAAUUGAUAUGAAUAAAUAGGGGAGUGAAGAUGACGAAGUGGCGAUUUGAUAACGGUGGCGUAUUCAAUUUUUGGAGAAAACUGAAUCGAUUCAGUUUGAGAGGAUAGAGAAGAUGGUCGGAGAUGAUGAGGAAGGAUGACUUUUGUUUUUUUUUUUUUUUUUUUUGUGAACUGAUUUUAGGUUUUAAUGGGCUAAUUGAUAUAGGGUGUAGGCCUGGGCUUUCGGUUAUCCGUUCGGUUAUCGGUUGGGUCCAUUCGGUUUUUGGUUCUUUCGGUUCUAAAAUUUAGUAUCCAUUCGGAUAUUUUGAAAUUUCAGUUCGGUUUUGGUUUGGUUCCGGUUCUUUCGGUUUUAAAAUUUAGUAUCCAUUCGGUUAUUUUGCUUAGGAUAUUUUCGGAUAUUUCGGUUAUUUUUGAGUAUUUUCGAAUAUUUUUGGAUAUUUUUCGGUUAUUUUUGAGUAUUUUUACUAUUUUUAUAGAUUUUUCAAGUAUUUUUGAUUAUUUGGUAUAUAAAUAACUAAUUAUUUCAAAAAUAUAAUUGUAUUUUGGGUAUUUCGGUUACCCGAAAUAUUUCGGUUCGGUACCGAUUUGGUUACGGUUAUUUCGGUUAUCAAAUUUAGUAUCCAUUCGGUUAUUUUCAAAUUUUCGGUAUGGUUCGGUUCGUUUUUUUUUGCUUCGGUUUCGGUUCGGUAUAUUCGGUUCGGUUUAAAAGCCCAGCCCUAAUAGGGUGGCUACGAAAUUAUUACGCUUUUAUGUUACGUGUUCAGUAUAUGGGCUUCUUAUCGUUAGGCUUUUUUUGUUUAAGAGUGGGCUUCUUAUUAUUGUGGGUAAACGUUUUUUCUUAAAGAAUUUUUUUGGCGAUGCUGAUGUGGCGUGAGGAGAGAUUGUUUUUAAACUUGCUGAUGUGGACAAAUUGAGAAGCUUCAAUGAACACAGGGCCGGCUCAAUUAAUUUUGAGUCCCGGUACAAAUUUUAAAAAUUGGCCUUUUUCAUACGAAAAAAAAAAAUUGGGCUUUUUUCAUGUUAAAAAAACUUAAAAAUUAAUCACUUUCAUACUAAAUAAAAUAUUUAGGUUUUUUUAUAAUAAAGAUAUUUUAAAGUUUUAAAAAUUACAUUUUUUUCUAUACGAAAAAAAAUUUAGGCCCUUAAAUUUACCCAAAAAAGUUGGACCCGGUACAAUUGCUCCACUUGCACACCCCAAACGCCGGCACUGUUUAGAUCAUCCACAAAUUGUGUAUGUGACUUGCAUGAUGAUUCCAUGAUAACCGUCAACUAGAACAAUUGUAUGUUAUUUGUAGCCUGAUAUUUUUUUUGGAAUACCAAAAUUUUUAACUUACAUUCAAAAGUUUGGCAUACCCAAAAAACUACCAGACCAUGAGAUAAUGAAUAUACAUCCGACAAAUUUUUUUGCAACUAUUUGAUAAUUUUUCAUCUCAACUGAACGUAAUUUGUGUUAUCAAUUCAUAUGAAGAUAAUAUAUUAGGUGAGAGUCAUCCAAGCAAUCAUCUUCUCAUAUACAAUACAUAUGAGGUUCAAUCUAAGAAAAACUAUACUUUUUCAAAACAAAUUCAUACAUAUUUUUCAUAAACAUACAAUGAGUGUUUUAAAAUAUUCAGUCUAAUACUAUUAAUAUUGUAUAUUAUUAUAUUUUCAAUUAUAAAUUUUGAGAUUUCUGAUGUAAGUCAUGUACAGAUAUUGAACGACCUAAAUGGACAAACUACCAUACUAAAAACAUGUCAUAAUAUACCCUUUGUCUCCCUCUAAACUAAUACGAUCACCGCUACUGCUUUUGCAGAACGCAACCACCUCACCGUUGAUUUUCCUAUAAUCAUAUAUGAUCACCCCAUGAUAAUCUUGGAAUAUUGCGUUCUUUCCAAAGGGUCCACGAUAGAUGUUAUCGGAGUCAAAUAGACCCUCAUAUGCGACUAAAGUCGCUCCAACCGGGUGUGUUCGAAGACCCUUUAAUGCCUGUUUGAAGGUUUGAUACCUAUAGAUGGCUGUGGUGUUGAACAUUUCUUCGUCUGGAAUAGGUAACCACUUUGUAGUACAUGAAGGUCUCUGCCCGUUUAUAUCCAAUCGUUCUCUAGGGAUACCAAACUUCUUUAUAUAAAUUAAUGCUUCUUCCAAAUCCCCAGGAUAACACUGAUGAGCCUGACCAUCACGUAGCGUUUUAGCAUCUACAUACUUGUGUGGAUUGACCUUUUGCAAAAGAUAUCUCGUACACAGCCGGUCAUACUUUUCUUCCCAACCAUGUAAUACACGGGAUGCACUUACCAGGUCAGUGGAAACGAAAGUCCGACAAUCAUCAUGAAAUAGUUUUUGUAAAACUCAACAAUUACAUUGAAGACAGAGAAGAUGAGUCACCAAGCUUACAUAUGAAAAGACAUUCAUUCACAUUUCGACAGCUGUACCAUUUGUUUGAAGCACAGUCUUUGAUUAUAUGUUAUUUUAGCUUAUUUAAACUAUAUGUCAUUUAUGACAUAUAUAUAUAUAUAUAUAUAUAUAAUACAUUCACGAAUGUUUGCUGUAAAUAAUACUUCAUAUAAGGUUUUUUACUUGUAAAUUUGAACUAAUUUUACACCCUAUUAUAUUACUCAAUUUGAAUCAUGAAAAAUUCAGCACAAAUUGUGGUUUAAUUCUACUCAAAUCAAGUUAAAUAAUGGGAAUGAAAAAAAUAUAUAUAAAAAAUCAAGAAGUCAAACAUUGAUUUGGCAGAGAUCCAGGUUGAGACUCUGCAGAGAGGUUGAGACUCGAUGCCCGGCAAAUAUUGUACAUGUUAACAUAAGAGAUUAUUUGGUUAUUACUAGUAUCCUUUUUAUUUCCUUUAAUAAAAUGGUACAAACUUAAAUUUUUAUUAGCUUUGGUUGUAACUAAGUUAAUACUAUCAAACCAUGAAAUGACCGUUUUGUUGGGUCUCUUCUACUUUUUUCAGAGGAGUUUUUAUAAGCAAGUUUAAAAGUUUUGACUUUUGACUCUAAAAAAGUUGUAACUUUUUGCAUAUCUUUUAUACAACAAAAAUUAGUUCUUGCUCUUCUUAUUAUUAGUCUCAUCAUUUUCAUUGUACAGAUUGUAAAUCUUACUGUUGGUUACAUGAUCUUGUCGGUAUAUAAAUUCAUUCAAAGCCCAACUAGAUUUAAAAGCCCACUAUUGGCCCAGCUUCAUUUUUUUUUUCUUUUUGUAUCUAUGUGUACACUUUCCCUUCACCGCAAGAAAUCAGAAGAACAGAAAAAAAGGUUUUGAAGGUUGAAACAAUGACGACGACGAUUUCCAAUCUUCCAAAGGAUUUGAAAGAGGAGAUUCUUUCUAGGGUUCCCUUGAAAUCUAUUAAAGCAGUGAGUACAGUUUUCAUCAAUAUAGUAUAUUUUAUAAUCUAAAGCAAUACACAUGAAUUCUACUUGCAAUAUAGUUUUCAUCAACUGAAAGAAAUAGUCUUGCACUUAAAGCAGCUCCGCAGAGGCAUUGGCAGCUACCUCGCUUCUGUUGAGAAUAACCGAGAAACAAGUUCCAGAGCUCCCCACAUAGGUGCAUCAUUCUGUUUUUAGACCCACAAAACAUAAAAACUUUUAUUAGCAAUUUCCAGGUUGUGAAAGAUCAUCUAUAAAUUGCGUAUGGAACUUACAACAUAAACAAGAUCAAAUGACUCGCGGUAGCUUUCAAGACUCUUCUCAAUGUUAUCGUUCCUGUAGAAAUAAGAUUAGUAGUUAUGAGGAGACCGAAACAGAGAGGAGGCAAAAUAGAAGAAGAGAAAAACUCACAGAAACCCAAUAGAUAUCCGAGUUUCAUAAUCCAGUCCAUCAGACAUCCUUAAAUCCCCCAAAUGAUCUCCCAUAAGCAAAACGUUCCUUCGCUCUUUCAUGUUUACAUUUUCUUCAUCUUCCUCACCAAUGUCAACACCAAGUCGAUCAUGAAGUGGAGCAGCCAUGUCUAAAGCGUGUUCGUUUUUGUUUAGCACGUGAAUUAGCUUUCCUGUAUUAUGAAAGGUAAAGACACUAGUUUAUAAUAGCAAGACAUAAAUCAAAUGCUUGAUACUUUCCGGGAGAGAUUUCAGUUUUCCAGAGGAAAAAUCACAAAUGUGAGUUGAUGAAUGCGCUUAAAUGAAUGAUGAAACACCAACCAAAUAUACCUUUGAAAGACACGAGCUGUCCAUCAUCAUUGAACACCAUCCAGUUAGAUACAAUCUUAACAUUCUUGAAAGUUCUACCAAGGUUCUGCCUCAAAACCUGGUAAGAAAGUGAAAUGUUCAUUAUAGAGGCAGCAGAAGUCAUUAUAGAGGCAGCAGAAGUAGGAGAGUAACUCUAAUUAACUAAUACUCUUUAGAGUCACCUCUUCAAUGACAUCAGCAAGUCCUGCUGAAAAAAUCAGAACUGGGAUCUCCUUUUUCUGAAAAAUAUUGCAAAUAAGGUCGAUUAAGAUACUAAUGGCUAUGUCUUUCACCAUUAGAGUAUAACUCAGCAAAACAUGAUUGCAUUCCUUUUUACCUCCAAAAAUUCAAAAAGCUCAGUCACACCUUCUCUAAAAGCUAUGGAGGAAUUCGCAACAGAUUUCUUGAUUGCCUCAUAUGUUAAACCUCCCUCAAUGAGAAGCUCAUGAGUUUUACUCCACCUCAUCAUUGACAACAACAAAAAGUUUAUCACUUGUUUGUCCAAAUAAGAGUAUCAAAAGACAGGCCAAAUGCGAUUGAUAAGAAGAGAAGAGUAUACCACUUCCAUGAGUUUGGUUUUCUCAUCAAUGGGAAUAACAGGAGAAAUCUCAAGAGGAUGAUAGUGAUCAUAUAAUGCUUGCCUCUUAGCAUCGUAAUAUGCGUUUCCUUGCUGCAAGAGGCCAUGACUGGCUAUAUAAAGGUUUCAGCUUUACUUGAAUUUGGUUAGUGAGAAGAGAAGAUUACAAUUGAUCAAAUGUGUAUGAACAUACUCUGCCCUCGAAGUCCACUGACUCGGUAUUUCGUUAAUGUCGCAUCGAAAUCUGCAAUUACCUUUACAAACAAAACAACACAAAGUUUUAAUCUUUGAGAACAAAACUUGGACAUAGAUUCGGAGAUAGGAGUGGGAAAGACCUGGAAUUUGGAAGGACCCGCGUCACGAAUUAGGGUUAUCUUAUCGGUGAGAGCUCGAGGAUGAGCUAUCACAGGCUGUUCCAUUUGAUUCUUAGCCAAAGAGCAAUUCUGAGAGAAAAAGGGAAAAACUUUAUACGGACAAUGUCUGAGAGGGAGACUGACCACAGAGAUACAAAUUGACGACGGCGCGUGGAAGCGCGUGCAGCAGCUUGUAAUGAGCAUUAAGCAAUUUUAUGUAUCGCCCACUACUUAAAAACUUAUACAAAAAGUACCAAACACCACCAAUUUUGCUUAGUAGUCAGUAGUCACAGAUUUAAAUCAAUCAAAAGUUUGUCAUGUUAAAGCUGCUACUAUCUUCAAUAACACUAGUCUCAGGCUCAAGGUCAGAGAGACUGAUAGAUUCAAUGAGAGGAGUGGAACAGCAGGGGAAAUCAAGAGAUGGGUGACUCUGAUACUUGGAGAGAAGUUACAGGUAAAUGAUUGUGCUUUUGUAUCUCUGAAACUCAAUUGAAUGUUAUGUAAGGUUGACAGUGGUCACACUUGUUACAGAGCAAGACAUUGACAAGGGAAUGCUUCGAGAUGCUCUUGGAACCUAUUCUUUCGACGUGCUAUGUAUUCUUUGACACAGAAUUAAACUUAUUAGCGUGUUUGGUUGUCUAUGUCGUACAUUGGAAUUGUGAGAACAUUUAUAAACACCAUAUACGAGCGAUGUCAAUAUCAUAUAGUAUUCAAGAAAUUCACAUUCAAUUUUUACCUCUCGUAACAUGUUAAAACUACUAAAGAUAAAAGAUCAUUGAACCUUACAAAAUUAUGAUUUAUUAAAAGUACGCUACACCCCAAAUAUGUUGAUAAUUUCGUAUUAUAACCUCAUUCGGUUCAUAUAGAUCGGUUCAAUCAAUUAAAAGCAUUAUAUUCAGGUUUUUUGACUAGUACAAAGUAAGAUGAACAACUGAAUAACAUAAUAGCUGAAUUAUGACAAAAAUUUAAACUGAACACAAAUGAUUCUUUAUCUUAAAAUGCCAAAAAGGUACUAGUGUAGUAAGGUGAAUGAAUUUUUUCGAAAUCUAUUUAUAAAUUUAAAACGUGAAUUAAAAAAUCACUUGUUAUUCGAUAUCAAAAAGUUAAUAAACAAAAAGAGAGAUUUAUGGGUUGUGAAGGCCCAAUUGAAGCCCAGAAAUGAGUUGGCCGGAUGGAUAAGGGUAUAUAAUCGCGUGGACAAACCUAAAUCGACCAAAAAGCCGCUCUAAUGACGCCGAAAAUUCGAACAGCAAGAACCUUGAGGACGAGUAGGGAGAAGAAGCGUUCGGAAGAAAUUAUGCCUAGUGUAAAUUCUUCCAUCAUUCUUUUUUUAACCAUGAACGGGUUUUGGUUGGUCAUGAGUGUUCCUUUAAUUUCGGUCGAAUUUGUCACAAUCCUCAUCUGCUUCUCUAGUCUAGAGGUUCCUUCUUUCUGGAUUUGUUGGUCACGGCUAGUGUUCCUUUGAUUCGAGUUUUUUUGUCACACUCCUCUGCUUCUAGGGUUCCUUAUUUUUUAUUGAUGUGAACUUAAAAUUUUGAUGGACUAAUAUAUCUGAUUAUUUUGUAUAAAUGGGUCUUAUAUAGCCGUUCGUUACCAAUGGUACGGUCGUAUACGGUUCGUAUAGACUGAAGGAAGUGAUCUGUAAUGAUCGGUCUCCUUGUUGUAGAUUAGUCGAGCUUUAUGCUAAGAUGGGCCUCCAUCGUUACAAUUUGCUUAAGGUACUUUCUUCCUUCUUUCUUUAUAUAAUCUAUAUUCUAUACUAGUAUUAAUUACUUACUUAAUCAAUGUCUUUCUUGAUGUGUACGUCAAUUAGGGUGAAAACUAUCAGUUCGUUUGCGUACAGAAAUACCAUUACAGAUUGAUUCUGGCUCCUUCCACUUACUUCAUAACUGUGGUUGCCACGGAUCCAUCUACCUCAUUGCCCCAAACUUUUCAUAUUAGAAUUGAGGAAGAUCGGCAUGCCGCCUUUAUUUUGAAGUGCAAUAUUUCUAGGAUCCAAGGUAAAAAUGCAGACUUGUUGUGCUAUUUGUUGCAAUAUUUCUUUGUCUUCCACUUGCUGAUUUUUAUAUUGUAUAGGGGAAUUCAAUAAGUUCGACGGGGGUCUAUGCUACCCAGGUAACAUGCCUGAGUGGCCGACAGAGGAUCCUUUCGACAAUGGAAAGCGGUUUUACGUGGUAAGAUUUAAGACACUCUCGAGUUUUUUUUGUUUUGCUCAUUAUCAACAAUUAGUUGUGUGAUGUUUUGCUUUUGCAGUUGAAUGAUUCAGAGCUGCAAGACAAUGAGUGGAUUCGUCUAUACUUGGAACUUGCAGUCACCAAACAUUUAAGUACCCAGAUGGAUCCUGAUCUGUCCGAGUUGAAGAUUGUGAAUGCGGCAAUAGAUAUCCAAGUUCUGAAUGAGGGGCUCAAUGCCAUAAAUGCAACUGUCUACAUAAGUUACAAGGACUCGUGCGAGGCUCGUGUUGGUAAGGAUGUUGAUCGCAUAGCUAUAGUUAGAAGAAACUUUGAUGAGCGUACAGGAUGCUUCACCCUCAUGGGUAUGCAUCAGAGUUCAGAAACUAUACCAAAAAAGGGUGCGAAUCAGAGUGAGGCUGGGGUUGGUAAGGAUGUCGAUAACAUUAGAAGAAGCUACAGUAAGCAUACGAGUUGCCAAGAAACAGGAUUUGAGUGCAGAAAAAAUGUGCAAGAAUCAUGAGCGUGUUAUCCCGCGUUUACACGUCCGCAAAUUGUGGCGGUUUUUGUGUCCUAGGCAGCACAGGGCAUACAAAAAGCGUGGCGUUCGCUUGUCUCUUGCUCUGCACAAGAAGACAUGAUCCAUUUGAAAAUGUGGAUUAGAGAGAAUAAAACUAUUAAUGGUUGCCUACCAUGUUAUUUUAUGCGUUAAGUGGAUUUGUUUAUGUUCAACUGGUGUGGUUUAAAACGUGAUUUAAUUCUACUAAAAUCUAUAUAUAUAUAUAUAUAAUUAGAGAGUCUUCUCUCCAUAUAGAGUGUCCACCUAAGCAUCAACCUAAGUAAUAAUAUUUAAUUUAAUUAAAAUAAAUUUAAAACAUCCAUUUAAUGCAUUUCCUUGUAAUUAAUAGAAAUAAUAAAUAAAAAACGAAUUAUGUAAAAUAAAUGAAAUGUUAAAAUAAUAAAAUAAUACUAUAAAAAUUUUAUAAGUAAGACUAAUAUAAUUCAACUUUUAAAUGAUAAAAAUUAAAUAUGGUCAGUAUUCAAAAUUUUAAAUGUGUUAAUGAGUUUUAGAAUGGAAGUAAAUUUAUGUAAUUCUCUAUGUGAAACUUUAAACAAGAAAAUAAAAUUCAAAGUGAAAUAUUAGUUUUGAAGAACAAUAUACUACAUAUUUUUAGUUAUUAUUAAAUUUUUACUUUAAAAAAAUAAAAAUUACUAAACUCAACUUAAAUUUAUAAUUUAAGAAGAAAAUAUUGUAAGAUGCAAACUUUAUCUUGUGAAAUUAUAAAAAACAAAUCUUGAAAAUUUUAAAACCUUAUCAUCCAUCUUUUAAAAAAUAAAUAAUCAGUGAUCACAAUAUUUAUGAGUUUUACGAUAAAAUAUAUUAAAAAUGAAUGUAAGCCAUUGAAAAAAAGUGAUAUGUAAUUUGUGUAGCAUAUUCUCAAGUGGAAGUACAACUUUAUAACAGAAUAAAAAAAACUAAGUUUGAUAUUUCAUUAAUGAAAUAUUGAAAAGAUAGUUAUGAUAUGUCUUGAAAAUCAAUUCAUAGUCCAAUAUAUAUUAUGUGUGAGUCAAUAGAAGGUAAAAAGAAAGUAGAUGUCGAGAGGCAACGAUUGCAUCAUAGAAGAUGACGAAAGAACUGGUAGUUAAAAGAGUUUGAAAAUAAAUUUCUAAAAUUUAAAAAGAUAAUGCACAUGACUAAUGUAUCUUUGAGAUCUCAUUCAUUGUGUGAAACGAAUGAGUUCUUAGAAAAUACAUGACAUACAUUAUUAAACAAAUUAUUAGAUUCAAAGUUAGGUUUAACCGUUUGGUCAUAAAAUCAUGGAAAGUAAAAUAAGAUAGGCACAUUGAUGACUUAGUCGGAAAUUCUCUUAUUGUUGCACUAGCUUUGAUGAGUAAAUCAAACUCGCUAAACCGGUUCUAGCAACAUGGUAUUAUAGAUGUACCUUUACACUAAAUAAUGUUCAUGAAACUCGGUAAAUUCACAUUUUAUAUGGAAUAAUGUUAUGUUCGUAUCAACAUUUAAUCAUAAAUAAUAUCUACAAUUAGGUCAACAAUCGAUAAUUAAUAUCAAAACUUUUAGUAAUACCUUCAUGGAAUAUGAAUAAGAAAUAAACUCUUUUAGAGUGUUGAUACCGUUUAUUCUUUCUCCGAAUUUUUUAAGUGAUUUUUGUUAGCACGUGAUAUAUAUCAAAUUAUUUAUUUGUCAAAGAAACAUUAUCGUCGAUAAUAUAUAUGUUAUAUAUCGUUUCGUAAAAUAAGUUUAGUGUUUAUAUAAAUUUAUCUUUUAAAAUUUGAAUUAUUAUAUUUAUGCUCAAAAAAUUAUCUUUUAAAUUUUAAAGAUUAUAUUUUUUAUGCUCAAAAUUUAUAUCAAUAUAAGAAAUUUUAAAAUUAAAAUCUCGCGCAACGCGCGGGUACAAAAUCUAGUUUAUAAAAUAGAGAUACAAUUCAUUAAAGUAGAAAAACAACGGAUACAUGAUAAUAGGUUACUCAUUAGAACUGGGCGUAACCCGUAUUCGAUCGGCGGCGACACAGCAAUUCCAUAACCAAAGUAAGAUGAAUACGGUCACAAAUAUACCGAAUAUUCCAACACAAUAUAUUAUACCCACAUGAUACAUAUUGUUUCUCUACCACACCAAAACUUGUUUUUGUUCUUAACUUCUUUUCGUGUCUUCUUCUUAACAAAGCUACUAGACAAAAGGUUACUUUGCAAAAAGUUAGUUUGUAUAUUCAUCUCAUAAGAGGAGUAUAUAUAUAAGUCCUAAUUGCCUUAUCUCUACAACUUGGGAAUCAAAAUUAACAUAUCAUAGAACGAAAAAGAAAAGUUAACAUAACACAAUAAGAUGCAUAUAUACGGUUCUUUAAUGUGCUAGGCACCGCCAAUCAAUUAUUUACUAUAUACUAGCCUCAAAUCUACUAAAUAUGAAUACUUCCCGUAGGUAAGUCAAAAUAGGGUUUUUACUGUCUACUUUCCUAAUUUAAACGUCAAAAGAAAUAGUCGUUUCCCAAUUUUUACCAAUUCUUCUUGUAUUAAAUCAAAAAGGAAUAUAGCAUCAGAGUGUGUACCAAAUAAAUCCGUGUUCUUUCUCUCUUGUACACACAACCGAGACUUUUUUUUUUACUGUAGUUGAAUUAAUCUAAAAACUAAGGGGGUGUUAUUGGUUUGUGAUUUAAAUAGAGUUUUAGUGACUUUACAUGUUAUAUAGAAUCUAUUGUUAUUCAAUCAAAAUUUUUUAAAAGUUUGUUGUAGUUUGGUGUUAUUAAUUUAAGAUUUGUAAAAAGUAAUCUAAAGUUCAUCAAUCUGGAGUUAUUGGAUUCAUACUUUUAUAAAGUCAUUAAAAGUUUUGUGUUAUUCAAUUGUAACAAAAGAAUCUAUGAUUGUUAAUGAAUUAAAUUAUUAUGUUAUUGGUUUAUGACUUUUUACACUUUACUUCACAAAAUAAAUAAAGUCAUUAAAAUAGAGAGAUUGUUUAGAAAACUUAACAAGAUUAUGAAACACUAAUCAACAAUAUUCUAGAAAACUCUCUAGCAAUAUUUUAGAAUCUUUCAUUUGUUUACUUUUUAUAAUUUUAUUAAAUUCAGCAAAAUUCUAUAUAAAUUAGGAACCAAUAACACUCCUAAUAAAUUUUCAUUUCUCAUAAAUUAUUUAGAAUUAUCAAACUUGAAACUGAAUGACUAAAUAAAUAAGUAAUUAGAAAACCAAAAAGAAACAAAAGGAUUCCAAAAGAGAUUCAUCGAAUGAUAUGAAUAUGAUGAUUAGUACGAGAGACUCCUAAAGCAGAGAAGAAGAGAGACAAAAAAGAUAAGUCAAAUCGUCUUUGGAGAAAAUUCACAAAGGUCAAAAAAUAAAUAAUGAAAUCUACUAUAACUCCUGAUACAUUUUAUGUGACUUUGAUCUGGCACUUGGGUGAAACCAAAGUGCCAAGAAGCAUCAUUAACUCCUUUUUGGUUUUCAGUAUAAUUAUGUCAUCAUCCACCACAACUUCUUUAACAUUCACUUGCAACAGUUCAAGGCAUUCCGUUUUCCCAAGAAAACUCUUCAAGUGUUUCAAUUCUUGACUAGUCAAGUUAAAUAAUGGGAAUGAGCUAGAAAAACAAAAUCAAAGAAGUCAAACAUUGAUUUGGCAGAGAAUCAGGUUACAAUGAUCAACUCUGCUGAGGUUGACACUUGAUGCCCUCCCUGCACGAGACAUUUUUAAGAAAUUAUUUGGUUAUACUAGUAUCCUUUUAUUUAAUAAAUGGUAGAAACUUAAAUUUUUAUUAGCUUUGGCUGUAAAGUUAAUAUAUGAAACCAUGAAAUGACCGCUUCUACUUUUCAGAGGAGUUUUUUAUAAGCAAGAUUAAAAGUUUUGACUUUUGACUCUAAAAAGUUGCAACUUUUUGCAUAUCUUUUUAUACAACAAAAAUUAGUUCUUGCUCUUCUUAUUAUUAUUAUUAGUCACAUCAUUUUCAUUGCACAGAUUGUAGAUCUUACUUUUGGUUACUUCCUACACUAUCAACAAAGUCUCCGUAAUAGUCCAACCAAAAGAAAAGAAAACAAGUAAAACGUUGCAACAAAUGAGAGAGAAGCAGAUACUAAAUCACACCACAAAUGUGUGAAAGCUUAGAGAGGCUUAAAGUAGAGAUGAUCAUCAGAGAAAAGAACCCUAAAAGCUUGUCUGCAUUUACACUUCAAUCUAAUUACAAACCCAUCUCCAGAUCUCUCUAUCCUCAUCCCUCCUCCACAUUCUUCUUCUUCUUCCACUUCCUCUUGCUCCUUCUGCUAUUUCACCGUAAACUUAUCAAAACCAGUACUUGCGACCUUUAAGACUAAAAGAACAAAUGCAGAAUCAUUAGAGAAUAACAUCAAACCUCAUAAGCAUAGUUAGUCUCUCCACGUUUCAUCUUCUCAACGCAAUUGUUAACCAUCUUCAUCGUCUGUUUCACCAAAACCAAUUCAAGAUUCUUCAUUAGUAGUUCAAAACAAGAAGUGAAAACAAAGAUUAGAGAAACGCUUAAUAGUUACAUAAGAAACCUCUGUAUCAGGAUCAGACGGCGUCGUUUCUUGCUCUUCCGAAACAGAGCUAGUGAGAUUCGUGUACCGGGUCGGGUCAUGAACAGAGGAAGUUUGUGUUUCCGGGGAAAUGAAGAGACGAGGAGAGGUGACAAAGAUUGGGUUUUGAGGGGAGAUUUUCCUGCGUUUGGGGAGAUCGGAUUCGUCGGAAACAGGGGAGGCGCGUUUCAACGGAGGGGUGAUUUCCUCGGCGGAGAACAAGGAUGAUGAAGGAGAAUAGUAGUCACGUGGUGAAGUGAGACGGAGGAGAGAUAGAUCAAUGUCUUCGAGGCUCAGAUUGUGGUUACGCUCUUGAAGUUGUUCUUCCAUCAUCAUCUUCUUUAGUCUUCUUGCUUCCUUCUCUGUUUGUCAAUAAUUUCUCUGGAAAACGAAAAUAAGUUUGAGAGAAUGUGAAGAGAGUCUUGGAAGUUGAAAAGGAUAUAUAGGACUCGGUUUAAAGAUUCCGGUUCAUGUUCGGUUUAAAGAUUCCGGUUCAAUACUUUUACUUUUAAUUUUUGUAAAAUUAAACCAGUUGCGAAAAAUCCACUCCGACGAUAAGUGUGAGUCUGACAGCCGGGAUGAGUGUCGCCGGCGUCCACCGUUUAACUCUUUCUCUCCCGCCGGUACUCUUUUUGUCUCUGGCUCUCACGAAACCCUGAUUUUUGAGCUAAAUUACUAAUCUUGCUGCUCUGUUUCCACAAGUGUUCUCUCCGUACUUUCAGCAUCCCCGCCAAUGGUCAAUCUCUGCUACCAUAUAGCUUCUCCGUAGUCCACCAUAGUCACCGGCUGGUUACCUCCUUUAGUCACAAUCACAAUGUUGGUCUUCUUAAAUUCCUCCACUUGAUGGUUGCUUUGAUUGAGAAUUGCUAUGAAUACUUGUGUCUUACCUCUUUACUUGUACUUAGGCUACUAAUAAAUCUGAUGCAGAGUCUAAGCCUUCCUAUGAUGAAGGUACUUAUUCAUGUAUUGACAUUUUAAAGGUGGAACCUUUCAACAUUUUAUGCAUCUUCUUCCUUACCAUGUUUGUUAUUAAGUUUAGUUUUUACACUGUUUUCUCUUCUUUCUAGGAGAAAUGUUGGAUAAGAAUAGGAUAAGCAGGAGAAACCCGUUCGUUUCAGAAAAGUAUGUGAUAUACUAAAAUCUUUCUUUCGGUAUACUUUUUCUAUGCCUCUAUGGUGGUGCUUGUGUGAGUUAGAAUAUGGAUUUUACUACUUGUUUUUUUCGUAUGUUUAGUUUAAGAAGCAAGAGAGGAACCAAUAUUACGGAUUAUGUUAUCUCUUCUUUCAAUAAUCAAUUUCAAACAUGUUUUCUGCCUCUUGUUUAUGUGGAAGGUUUUGGUUCAAAUUUUUGCCUGAGCUACUUGGUUUUCCACUUCUUUGGUGAUCAUGAAUAUGUCAUUUGUAUUUCGGAUAUGGUCUGUCCAAAUAUCAGCUAAGAUCAUUUAUGUUCAAUAUGCUUGAAAUCUGCAUUGCAAGGAAGGAUUUGGGGGAUUUAUAUGAUUUUUAACAUUAGCAAUAUUUUUUCCAUUUCAUGAUUUUGCCUGCCUUGAUAUGCUACCAAAAUUGCAGGCUUCUCAAGAAAUUGAAGAGAUAUGGAGUCUCUGGAAUACUGUCCUAUGGGAUACUUAAUACGGUCUAUUAUUCCAAAGCUUUCCUCUUGGUGUGGUGAGUAGAAUAGAAUUUUGACCGUAUAUGCUCUGUGUAAAGCUACAAGAACAUUGUUCUCCAUCAUAACAUACUUGAGCCACAACAGUGACGAUUAUCUAUAUGUGUAUAGGUUUUAUGUGGCCCCAGCACCGGGAAAAAUGGGUUAUCUUGCUGCGGCUGAGAGGUAUGGAAUGUUUUUCAGCAUUUCCUAGCAUUAAAGGGAUGUGAAAGAUUCGUCUUGCAUGCAGAUUUCUUAAAGUUAUGGCAAUGGUCUGGGCUGGAAGCCAAGUUACUAAGCUCAUCAGAAUAGGAGGGUAUGUAGCUAAUAUAAGUUUCUUACUCAGUUAGUUCCCUAUAGCUUAAGAACAUCAGCAUGCUCUCAUUAUAGUGUCAUGGGUCUGAAAUGCCUUGGAGGAAGCUCUUUAACUGCUUCCUGCCAGUUCAUGAUGAUGUUGUAGCCUUGUAGGAAUUAAGACCUUUCAUAUUGUCUCAUCAUGAUAGAUGUGCAGACUAUCGCAUCAUUGUUUUAGCAUCAAUAAUCAAAGUAUCAUUUGAUUUGCAAUGUUCACAAGUGUAAAAAAAUUUGUAUUAGUAGAUCCUGAAAAAGUGCCUAGUACUUCAACCUUUUCAUGUGUAGGUCUAGAAGAGAUAAGUAACUAAUAUUUGUAAAUAUUAGUCUAUCGAUUUUAAGAUGCAUGUGGUGAUGAAAAUGGUACCUUCAACCUGAUCCUUUGGCGUCUAGUAGACAAUGCAAAUCCUUUCAUAUUCAGUGAACAAGAAUAAUCAAUAACAAUGUAUCCUCUAUAUUAUUUCCAAAUAACAAUCAGUUUGUUCUCGUUUACGUGUAACAUGUUUAGGUCUUAGGUGACAAGGUAAUGCUAAGGAGAAGUGGUCAUAUUAUUAGUAGAUAAUCUGUUUUGUUAGUGAAAGUGGUUCAAAACCAGUUAUAACAUAGUAGAUGGAUGCUGGGAAGUCGCAUUUGCACUUGCAUUUCCUAGUUGUGAUUAUUGCCGACCUUAUCUUGUUAUGAUGUUGUUACUCAUGAAGAAUGUUGAUGGAUACAGGGCAGUGGCACUUGCACCUAUUGUUGAUCGAGGAUUGUCAUGGUUUACAGUAAAAUGCAAGUUUGAAAGUCAGGGAAAAGUGAGGCACCCAAAAUUGCUCUGAGUAAUACAUAUAUAGAUGAUGAUGAUGAUGAGUGAUUAACCUGUGGAUGCAUUGCUUUGACAGGCUUUUGGCGCACUGGUUGGGAUAUGUCUUGGUCUCGCUUUGAUGCUGUUUGUUGUUGUGACACUGCUUUGGUCAUAGAACAGAAUAAUAGUUGCGUUUAGUAGGUUUUUGCUUGAGAGGCAUUGUGAAAAUUGACCUGAUAUUGUAUUAUUAGUGGUGGUCCGAUCUUUUUUUGUUUCUGGAUGAUACAUUCAGAUUUAGCAUCAAGAUCUUAAUUCGUUUGCAAUAUUGAGUUUUGCAUCUACGUAUGGCAUUUAGAUGCACCCGAUGCAGAAGAAAAUUGUAUGUAAACACAAAUAAUUAGAGAAAGAUUCAGAUGAGUGCUCUCUUAGGACAAGAGUAAGAGGUGGCAAAGCAAAAGACAAGCUGUUGCAAAUCUCAGAGUUGCAGUAAUAACAAGACAUAUAAAUGGUUAUUUGGGGAGGCCAGUUUGAGGAUGGAGAAGGGCUUGAGUUUGGUCUUGAAGCACCACAGGACCUCUUCCAGGUCUGCUGCAUAUAAAAUAACUCACUUCACCUUUUUGAUCCUGAUUUCCAAUCUUGUCUUUAAUUCCUUGUGGGAGCUCUCCUUCCAAGCCUGCCUCUUUUACAAUCGAUGUAUCACCCAGUACAUAACUAUACAAAGUAGCGAAACACCAUUUUUAUUAGUCCGGGAUUUAAUCACUUAAUCAAUCACAAUUCCUAUCUCACCUCUUCAUGUCUGUGUCAGGCUUCGGAGGGAAGCAGUAGAGCAGCCCCUGCAUCAAUUCAACUGCUACUUUCCUGUUUCUUGCAAUCAGAACUGCAUUUGGGCCAGCAUCAAAUGUAUAAGCAAUCUGUCCAGGACAAUGAGAUUAAGAUCAGAAGACUUGUCCAACACCCUAGUCUCGAAAUCUAUUUGAAAUUCAAUGCUUGCUUGUGAGGUAUAUAUGGAGUAAGCAAGCAUACAUACCUCUGGUGUACCGGCAGAACGGUUCCACUUUUCAACUAAGCUGAUUAUCCUGGCAUCAUUAGUUAGUGGAUUGCGAUCAGUACCACAUCACUGAUAGCUAAAAGCUGAAAAUGACUGCCAAAAGAAACAAAAGAAGAGAAAGAGAUACCUGUGGGAGGUGUCAUUCAUGUAGAAUAUGGGUGGAGAUGUAUCCAUACAAACAGCAUGAAACUGAUUACUGUCUGAACACGUCAAUUUUGUAAAAGAUGUAAAAUCUCGAUUCUUUAUAGCUUCUUCCAUUUGCAAAAUCCGUACUGGGACAACUUCCUAAGGAGAAAUUAGACCAUGAAGUUGAGGGGAUUAUUUUCAUUUUUGAAGUUAAGCAAGCACAACCAAAAAACAUUCAUAUUCUUUGUUUAGGAACCCAACAAAGGUUAUUUUAGGUGAUACAGACUGUUAUCAAUCAUACAUACCUUUGCUCUAUGCUGUAAAAGCAAACUUGUCUCAACACUCUCACGCAUUCCCGAGGUGCUGCUUGUUUCCUUCUCUCGUGAACUAACCUGCAUGUAACACAAGCUAGUAUGAGUUGAAAAAAGGUGAACAAAAAACCAAAUGAACGAAUAAGCUUUUGCAGGCUAUGAUGGAAAUGAUAAGAAAACAUAGAAUUAUCACAGAGUUCAGAUCAUAUUAUUCAAAAAAAUCAGCAGAAAUAUCUUAUCCAGAUAACACACCUUCAUUCAUGUCAUUAGACAAGAGAGUGUAACAAAAAGUUAUUAGAGACCGACAUAAGAAGAUGAAGAAUAGGAUAGAUACUGCACAUGAAUCUAAAAAUGCACUAGAGUAAAAGUACUUAAGAUCCAUACCACAGCAAUAAUGAUAACAAGAUCAUCCCAAUGCUUAUCAUCUACCAGUUGAACUGCAACACUGUCACUCCCAUCUUCUUUGUUUCCCAUGUUCCACUUGACAAAUCCCCCAAAUAAACUACGGCAAGCACUUCCUGAACCUUGCCUACAUGAAGAAAUGACAUUAUAAUCAUAUAUACUGGUACCACUUAGUUUAUAGAGGAACGUCUAACUACACAUAAUUCAAUUAAAAGCACAGAGCAAACGGAUGCAUAUUUAAAAGUAACUGUAAAAAAUGGAUUAUAGUAAAUCGUAUAGUUAACAUGGAAGAUACAAAAAAGAUCAUUAAGGGUGAAAAUGCGAGUCAGGUAACGUAAGUCAUACCUUGCUAUAGCAGAAAGUUGGCUUGGAUCUUCAUUUACAUUCAUCAACUUGGCAAGAGCAAAAACUGUACCCAAAAGCAACUGUUAUAUAAUACAUUGAGCAGUUUCCAAAAGAAAGAUCGACUUAGGGAAUCUAGAAAACCAUUCAUCACUGGAGGAAAGAGACAGGAUCAAUGUCAUUGAAGUUUAGCAAUUAUAAGCUGAAUUAUGCAGAAAAGAUGAAAAUCUAGAAGGAAGAUGAGGGAUAAAGAGAAGAAAGCCAUGUAACCAUUUGGUUGUUCAUGAAACUAUAUUGUAGCUCUCUCUGGUCUCCCUUGUUUUCUCUUCUAUUGAUGUGUUACCACUUACAUAAUAAAAAAGGGAAAGAUUGUGUAUUAUCCAGAGCUAAACAAGAUCAACCAGAUGGUGUAAUAAAGUUCAGAUAUCCCACAAACAAAAAGCACCUACAUUUUCAUGAAUGUACUGUCUAGUCCUACCUUUAAGCGAUAUUCAAGUAUCCAGAAACAUACCAUGUGACAAAGAAAACGGAGAGAAAAAGAAAAAUACCUAAGCAAGCAAAACCAGCAGCUGAAGAUGCUAAGCCAGCAGCAGUAGGGAAAUUGUUAUGAGAAGCAAUGUGCAGAUGCAAUUUCUGCCAAUCCUUCUUCUCAAUCUUGAUACCCUUUUCUUUAUCUUCAAGAUCAUCAGCACGACUUCGUAUCUCCCUCAAGCAAUUCUGGUACCUACUUCCAGAAAGUGAGAUUUCCUAUACUAGCAUGAAACCAAAAAAACACCAUCAACAAAAACCAACAACACUCAGAUUCUUAUAAAUCCCAACAAUACAUUACCUAAUCCAAGUCCGUUUCAUAAUUCAAUUCAUACGAAUCUAAGCUUAAGAGACGAUUUCAAUAUGAGAAAUGAAGAGCAAAAGUACCUUGCCAUUGAGCCACAUUCGAUCUCGAUCAAAGGAAGGACUAACAGAGACGGUGGUGAGAGUACAGAGGUGAUCAGGAUCAAGCGUGACGCUAAUGCUAUCGUUAAUGGGGAGAAUCCGAACCUCAUCUCUCUUUCCCCAAUACUUAAUCACGGCGAUAUUCGUCGGCGUCUGUGCCGUCACCAUCAUCACCCAUUUCUCCUCCGCCAUUAGCACAGCUCAAGCUUUUUCGAAUCCAGAGAUCUGUAGCUUUCUCAGAAGAUUCAAAGGAGGAAAUGAAAGUGACGGAGAGUUCGAAAAAGAGAAACAGCUCAAAUCAGGUGGGAGAUUAAAAUAAGGUUGAUUGGUACGAACGAUACGGUUCCGUCCAAAGAGCACUUAAUUUUAAUUAUUAUUAUUUUUUUUCGUCAGAGCACUUAAUUUUAAUAUGCGAAAAUUUCAAUAACCCCCACAUUUUGAAAAUUCUUACAAAAUUAGCUUGUACUCCUUUAAUUACUAAAACAACCUCCAACUUUGAGUUGACUUCAUUGAAUUACACUCACUUUGAGUUGACUUUUAACAACAUAGAGACUCAUUUUUCGGUGUUACUGGAGUACUAGGUUGAGGUUGAUUUCAACGUAGUCAACUCGAGUUCAAGUUUAUUUUGUGGACCUUUUAACAUCGAGUCUAAUUAUGAGGAAGUGAGGAACAAAGUGAGACAGGGAUGAAAGUGAUUUAAUUAAUGUUACAAUUGAGAAACAGCCAAGUCGAAGUCUCGUUUCUUUUAUGAGAGCCAGACAAUUUU